AGACAGAGGAUUCUUACCCCAAAGAUGAGCCUAAAUUGAUGUAGACUUCAGAUCCACAAGCCCUCUUGGUGCUAUCCUCGAAUUCCUCCAACUUCUCUUCACAAAUUCCUUCUUCCAAGCUUCAAUCCUCUCAAUAAUGGAGUUUCUCACGAUUAGGGUUUCCUCUGGAACACUCAGGGGAAAUAGAGGCUGAAAAGAAGGCAUAUCAUUCUUUAAAUAGGGUGCAAACCCCAAAGAUUAGGGUUUUCUUCACCCAGCACCAACUCGCCGAGUCCAACCGCCGACUCGCCGAGUUGGCCACUUAACACGCGACCAAAAUCGCGACUCUACUCGCCGAGUCCACCCAUGGACUCGCCGAGUUGCCCUUAUACAUUUUCACUUUGAACCCUGAACUUGCACUCCUGAACUCGGGAUGUUACAGUGGGCCUGUCCAACCGUGCAUUAUUUUAAUCAAGGGUUUUAGUAUUUAAGGUGCAUGCAUGCAUCCUUGGUAGGUUAACACUUCUGAGAAUUUCCUUUUGAUAAGUAUUGUAAACCCUAGCUCGCCUCUACAACGGAAGUUCUUCAUCGACCUUUGUUGAGGUGUGACUAUAUUUGAAUCAUAAGCUUCAUAUUGAUUUUGUUUUGUGUUCUUAAUUGCUGUAUGAUUGAUUUGUUUGUUCUUUAUCAACAUACAUGUGAAAGAUCUAAACGAUCUAGAGAUUUAUUCUCAUCAGUAAAGUCAAUUCGUAUGACUCUACUUUAGGUACAUCCACGGUCUAAUUCCAUUAGUUCCUAUUCUUAGACUCUUAAUACAUGAUGCCAUGAUCACAUUUUGAUGGUAUUGCAGGAUCUAAAAGAAAAAAAGGAAGCUUAAGCAAAGUGAGCUAAAUUUGAUCAUGAAAGAUGGACUUUGGUCAUGUGGUUUGGUGGUCAGAAUUUGAAGCUGCUUCAAGGGAGUUAGGAUAACUUAAUAGAUUUCUUUUACUCUUCAGAGAUGUUUAGAAAUACAGUUUUUCAUUUUUUUAUUGUAAGGACAAGUUCCAAUUUUUCAUUUAUCUUAGUAAAACUGAUUUUUUGGUUUACUUAGUUGUUUUAUCUUAUUUCCUUGCAAUGAAAUUAAUGAAAAUGUUAGUUAUGUUUCAAAUAAUAGCAAUAUUAAUUAUGGAUUUUAUUCUUAUGAUAUUGCUUGUGGCACUGUCAUAAUUGACCAAGUGAAAAAAAGUAAUCUUAUAGCCAACUUGAUAGAUACUUGGAGUCGUACAAUUCAAAUUGUAUAAUAUAUGACAAUCUUAUUCAUUGGAAAAUUAUGAUUAAUUCAUUGAUCACAUGUUUAUGUGAAGGCAAAUGAAGGACUAAUGGAUCUAGUACAUGUUGAUAUGAACUCUGCAAAUCCACCACAAAGGAUGAUAACUCUAUUCGUCAUGAUUUACCGAUGCUUCAAUAAAUAUGAUUUUGUUUAUAAGAUUAAACACAAUUUUAAUACUUUUGAAAAGUUCAUGAGUAGCAAAAAAAUGGAAAAAUCCAUUAAGAAGAAAGAUAAAAGAUUCUCCAGUCUGUAAAGAAAAGGAGAGUGCUUUAUUAUCAUGUUUUAUGAUCAUCUGAGUAAUUGUGGAACUGUAUUACAAUUGACUCCUCCAAGAACAUCUUAAUGCAAUUGUAUGACUAAGAAAAGGAAUUAAACAUUGUUGGAAAUGGUUCGAUCAUAGAUAAGUCAUAAUUUGCUCCAAUUAAGUUUUAGAGUCAUGCUCUAGUAACUAUAAAUCAUAUCAUUAAACUCAUUUCAAACAAAGAAGGAUGAUAACACCUCGUAAUAUGUGGAGUAAUAAUGUUUUCUUACUCUAGCACAUUUAGAAUUGUAGUUGUGAUGUUUUCGUUGAUCGAGAAACAAAAGAUGAACUGAGUCAUAUUCUAUGAAGUGUUUUCUUGUCAGAAAUCCGCAAGAGCUCUUGAAUAUUUGUUUUGGAUCAUCAAUGAAUGUUCCUUGAGAGAAAAAUCACAUGUCAAGAAGUCAAUGGGAGUCACGUUGAUAUUGAUCUUGUAAGAGUCGACCGAUAGUGAUCCUUUUAAUUAUCACUAGCACACGAACUGAGGUUUAUUGUGUUUACUAACAUAUUCUUAUUUAUGUGCACUUCUAGUUGAGUUAACAAUGAUUAUGAGUUCUAUGCUCUUCGUUUAAGUGUGAAAGCAAAGCACGUUGGUUAGUUAUAGUAUGCUGAUCAAUAUCGAUGAGCUGCUAAUAACAUGGAAGCACUAGUGGGCCAUUUGAGCUGCCAGAAGACAAGAAAUUAAAAUAAUAGCAAAGUUCGUUUCAUGAAGGAAAAUUGAAUUUGGUUUGUCCUAAUCCUUGCCUUAUGACUAUAGCAUGAAAAUGAAAGUUCUACGUAGAUGGGAACAUAUGCACCUUCGAAUCUAGGUGAUUAAAAGGUUUCACUCCAAUUCAUGAAAUGGUUAGGAGUAAACACUUUCACUAGUAGAUUUGAAGGAUCUGAUAAAGAUCGUAUGGAUAUUGGUUGCAUCAAUUGCAUUCUCAAAUUCACAAUAUGAUUACGACAUCACUCUUCAUAUUUCAAAUUGUAAGGUAUAGCAAGGAAUUGUUUAACCUUUCAGGAGAUAUGUUUAUCACAUCUUGAAAGGGUUUAAACAUAUACAUUAUCCGGAUAAAGGGCAUAAGAUUAAGAAUCCUAGUUAGAGGCUUGACGAAGCAUCACGAAAUAGGAAUCUACACUUCCAUUAGAAAUUCAAAAGGUAUUGAAUUCUAGAAGUCUAUUUGAUUUCCGAGUACAUGUCAAAGCGAGUGGGAGCAUAUUUGUUAUGUUGGUAUUGCAUGUUGACAAUACUAUUCAUAUUGAACAAUGUCACUAGUUUGCAAAUUGCAAAAGCUGGAAACUAUUUCACUAUAAUAGACAUAAGGGAGAGGGCGCUCAUACUUUGUUACAAAUCUAAAUGUUUAGAAUGUAUAGUUUAAUAGAACUUAGUCGAAGGCAUAUAUGAAUAGCAUGUUGAAAUGUUUCAACAUUUAGGAUUCUAUAUAUGGAAAUAUUAUCGCAAGGAAUUGAACAGAUAUUGGACCGUUGUAAUAAUGAGUCGAGUCCUAUAUCUUUCGGAUAUAGGAUCGAUUACAUAAGCUAUAAUAUUUGCUUAUUCUAAUGCUCUGAGCAUUGUGAGAAAAAGGACUAGAAUUUUAAGUGACUAAAGCUCUUAAACAAUUGUCAAGAACAUUUUGAGGUUUACUAAAGACUGAUUGCUUGUGGGCAGUUGGAAGUAUGACAUGAUUUAAGAAGGACCAUAGUCACAAAUUUUAGAUUGAGAUGAUUCUUGGUCAGAAUUGAUGGUCAUAUGGAAAUAUAGGAAUGUUUCCAUAAUGGGAUAUGCUUAUAGAAUCUACAUGUAAGUUAGAAACUUUAAUGCAAGAGAAGUGUUCAAGGAAUGUACCCUAAAUAUGAGACUUCAUAACCAUGGAAUUGUUUCAAGUAACAAGUUCUAGUGGAACAUUCUAUAAUAUAUAAGGCUUAGUCUUUGUGACUUUAGAACCUCUACAUCAUAGAAAGACAAUGCAGGUUAAGAUGAAAUUCCACUACAUCUUAAUUAAGGACAAUAAUUUGGAAUUGUGAAAUAAGCAUCAUUGGAGUAAUGUCCAAUCAAUAUAUUCACAAAGGAAAGACCAUCAAGAGUCAUGGUAUGCAUGUUCGCAACAUGGCAUGACUGAUGUUAUUUAACUCAAGUGGUUGGUUGAUUACUCGAAACAUCACACAAUGAAUAAAUUGUAAUUUUUAUGGUGAUUAAAUAAUAGGAAUUUAUUUCUGAUCAAUGGGUAUGAUGCCGUAGUUAAUUAAUUUAUUAUUGUGUUUAACUUUGCAUGUUUUACUUUCCUAAGUGAUUUAAAUAUUAUUCAAAGCUUCACAGUCAUUCAUACUUUUAGAAGUAAGUAGAGAACUAAGACUGUCAUGAAUUGAUUUAUAGAUUGUCCAUAGGGAUUGGACAUUACAUGAGAUUGUUAAAAUAUUAAUGAGUACUUGGAAAUAAGGAUUUUAAGUAUCUAAUAAACCCACUCUAAGUGAUUACUUCAUGGAUUUAAAUCACAAGUGAUUCUAAGACGAUAAUAUAUUCUAUUAUUAAAGUAGAGAUAUAUAGUUCAUAGUUUAUUGAUCAGUUGUGUAUUGGUUUGGUCAAACACAUCUCGUAAUUGGAUGUUAUAAAGGGUUAUCCCAUGUGUGAUUCAACAUGUAAAUUUUAUGACUAUAUAGUCAAAGUAAUUCGUUCCUUUUUCCUUAAUAGAAAAAGCGGUAUCUGUGGGCCCCUUGGUGAUUUGAAUUGACUUAUGAAAAACCAGGCGCAUGGUCCAGACUAAAUGGGUGCGUUCGAUUUUGUAGUCUAAAUUGAUCACAAUUUGGGAAAUCGGGAAACAAAUAAAUGAACAUGAGGUUGAACAUUUAAUCCAUGACUCAGUUCAUACGAUAUCUUAUAGAACAAACGAAUAGUUUAUCAUUUAUCUUAAGGGCAACAUUUGAUUUGAAUAAGAGUUCGACAGUGUCUUGGGAAAGCACUCUUUGCAGUUUAGUUCAAGGUAUAUACUUUCAAUUGUAAUUAGAAGCAAAGUCCCUUUUGAGUUUCCCUCAUAACUAGAACUUGAUUAGAAUGAUAUUUAUAGAGAGAGGAUGAUUUAUUAGAUUAUCAUAUGAUUAAUAAACUAAUUGGAAAUUAUGAGGAAAUUAUUUGUUAAUGUAUUAUAUGAUUAAUAUAUUCAAUGGAAACAAAUAGUUGAUUUGUUAAUUUAUUUUGUGAUUAAUAAAUUAAUAUGAGAUCGGUUGUUAAAGUAAUGGAUUUUUUAAUUUAUAUGAGUAAUAAGUUAAUAAGAAAUCAGUUAUAGCUUAUUAAUUAUUAAUCAUAAUUAAUCUGGAAUUACUUUGGGAUUAACUGUAAUUAAUUAAAGGUGCAAGGGGUGAAUUGUAAUUAUUCAAUAGUUGAACAAAAUAGGCAAUUCUAGAACCAUCCUAGGCGGAUGGUUUUGGGAGCCCUUCUAGGGUUUCCAAAAGUCACAUGGAUGUUAAUAAGGAAAUGAUUUGAAUUGGAAUUAAAUCCAUUAUUUACUUCUUCAAAUCUUUCUUUGCUCCUAAGUUACAUAAAUUAUAAAUAGGGCCCCUUGGACACUCAAAUUCGUGACUACUCUUUUUUAUAAGCGUAUGAACUAAAAUUUACACUCUCCUCCUUUCUCCUCAAGUAUCUUCUAGUUCUAGGGUUUGGGUGUGAGCCAUUAGAGGCAUCAUCCUUUUGGUGCUAGCUUUCCAAGCUUUUCAAAGAAAGGAUUGAAGUGAUUUGUUUGAUACAACAAAUCCAAGUUACGUAAACCCUUAACCUAAUUUCUUAUUUUCGAAAUAGCUAGGGGUUUACUAGAUUUUGUUAUUCAAAGUAUGUUGCCUUCAAAGUGAAAAACAUAAAUCCUUUUAGGUUGCAUGUGUCCUUCUUAUUUAUUAAGUUUUUUAUGCAUUGUGCAUAUUGUUGUAACCUAAUAAACCCAUCAGAUCAUGCAUGGUGGAUAGACUCGGGGUUGACGAGUCAUGUGUGUAAAGAUCUCUCUUGGUUCAAGGAUUAUGAAGUAAUUAAUGAUGGGUGUUGUACAUGGGAGACCAUAAUAAAGCACCUGUUAUGGGUCGUGGUUGUGUUUCUUUAUGUUUUAGUUCUGGAAAAAGUGUUAUUCUUAACAAUAUUAUUUGUGUUCCUACAAUUAGAAAGAACUUGGUUUCUGGUGGUGUAAUUAAUAGAUAUGGAUAUAAACAAGUCUAUGAAUCUGAUAAGUAUGUAUUAUCUAAGUGUGGUACAUUUAUUGGAUUUGGAUAUUAAUGUUUUAUUUAAAAUGCCUUUCAAUGUGUGAACAAAGUUACAAUAGUGUCUUAAUUAUUAAAAAUGAAAUUUUGUUCUUGAAAUUUUAGGAUGUUACACUAGGGCCUCACCCUGGGGUGUCUCUCAACCCAAUCAUACAGUAGUGGGCCCCGCCCUGGGUUCUAUUUUAACCCGAACAUACGACAGUGGGCCCCACCCUAGGGUGUAUUUCAACCCAGCAUACAAUUACACAUAUACCACAUAACGACUAUCAUUCUAAGUAAUACAGUAAAGGGCCGAUAUUGGUGCCUUCGACCCAUGGAUGCAGUGAGAAGACUUACCUCCAAAGAAGAUAACCGUGCUACACACUCGAGCUGUUGCUAAUACGGUCCCUCACACUAAAGAUAUCCCAAAGAAAAUAACCCUAAUUAAUAAUCCGACUUUUAUUCCAUAAUAGAUGGUGCAAACAAUCCCAUAUCCUAAAUAGGGGCAAAAAGGUCAUUUUUCCUUCCCAUUCGACCCAAAUUCUGGAAAGCCUAACACGAAUGAUUCAAUGCCCAAAAGGAUGGCCCAUGUGUUGGAACUGGCCGUACGCCCCGCCUACCAACUUGUACACCCCGUGUACACAAUGUAUGCGAACGGAAUCGGGGUCAAGGUGCAGUAUGCACAGCAUACUUGGUUUUACCUCCACCGUACACACCCUAAUGCCAAAACUCCCAUUAAGGUCUCAAUGCUUUAAGACCUUACAUACAAACUUCAGAUUUGAGCUUAUUAAGACCUAUAAGGCCAUAAAGUUGCAAACUUUAUGCCUUUGCAUGGCUACAAGGACCCCAACACUAAGAACCUAACUUGCUCCAUCCUUUUCUACACCAUAACUCUUGCAUGGGAACAAAUCAAGAUCCAAGCUUUCAUUUUUUAUGACUUAAAAUACCCUAAAAUGUCUAAAAGAACAACUUAAAGGCUUCGGAGUACCUCAUAUUCACAAAGAUCUAGGUUUUGGGACAAAAGAAAAGAAGUUCUAAGCUUAAUCAAGAUCUAGAAAAACAUGAGCCAAGUUUGGAGAUUUAUACCUCAAAAUGGUGCACACUGAAGAUAGAAUGUUGUAUCCAAAUUCUUGAGAGAAAAGCCACUUCUUUGAUGAUCUUCCUUCACAAUCAAGAAAUCCCACAAUUCACUUAAAAGCUCAAAAUGCUCAAAAUAGAUUAGGGUUUGCAAGGAGGGUCGAUCUUGGGAUGGAGGCUGAUAAGUGGAAAGGUUUUGGGGCUAUAAUGGUGCUUAUAUAGUACACAACCCCUAAAUAUUAGGGUUUGCUCUAAAUUGCAUACGCACUGCGUACCAGCGUACGCUCAACGAGCGUAUGCUCAAUGUACAUGCACAGGGCCAGGUACACCCAACGUACCAAGGUGUACGCCCAACAUACCCAUGUUGCACCUAAUAUUACAAAAAUGCCAUAAAGAGCCACUUUGGACAAUACUCAUUUACUAAGGGGAUAAUGGGUAAAUACCUGGAGAACAAGAUGUUCACACAAGUUUUGUGCAUCCAAGAAAAAGGAAGAGGAAUCAAAGGCUUUCUAGGUAUAAUUUCUCCUCCUCUAACUCUAUAUUUUGAAUUCAAGGUUUGGGUAGAACCUCAAUAUCAAUUUUGGCCUCAAUAGAUGAUUAGGGUUUGGUUUUCUAACAUCACUGACUGGUUUCCAUGGUUCUAAUCUUCAUCCAAUCAUCACAUUGAUGGAUUUGAUGAUUUGGUUAAAAAGCUCCAUGAACGCUAGAAAACCUAAAUUGAGGAUAUUGAAAUUGAUCAUGAAAUGAGAUUGUAUUUUAUAACCUAGAUGAUAUUUGAUAGCAACAAAUCCAAUUAGAAUGCUCAAAGUCAUCCAUGACGGUAGAAUCAUGUAUAUGCUACAAUUGGAAUGGAAUUGAGUGAAAUGUGAUGAAAAAUAUGGAAUAUUUCGUGUGUAAGCAUUUAAUGAGUAAAUGAUACUCAUAAACAUGAUUUGAUACUAAAAUAUGAUUUGGAUGUAAGAACAUGAAGACUUGAAUGAUUCCAAGUUGAAUUUUUGGAAUAUUUGGCCGUAAGGGUAUUUUGAGAAAUAUAUGGAUUACUACAUAAAGAUUGACUUCUAAGAAGUGAAUAAUAUUCAUGAACAUGAAUUAACACUCUAUAUAUGUUAUUGGAACAUUAACAUUAAGGAAUACCAGUGAAGUUCUAGCUCUAGUGAUUGUUUUGGCCCAAGGGUACUUUGGGAACAUGGAAUGGAAUUGAGGAUUCUAUAGUUACAUUAGCUACUUACAAUGAGAUUGAUUGUGGUUUUAUGUACUUAGCAACACUCAUUUGAGUAUUCAAUAAGUUGGGAACAAGCUUUGUGAAUUUGGAAUGCUCAAGUGAAAAAUAGAAAGGAUAACUCUUCUUGUGGAAUUUUAGAAUUCAUAUGAUCUUAAAGGGGUUUCUAUGAGAACUUAAGGAGUUAAGAAGAGUGUUUUGGGAUGAUAAAACACUUCCUAACCAUGUGUGAGAACCCAUAUACUUAGUACAAAGUGAAUUGGAAAGGGCAUUCAAGAACUAUGCAAAGUACAUAACAUUAAUGAGAAAAAGUACACAAUUCGGAGCAUAGUAGGGUUCACCGUAGGGUUACCGUAAAACAUCCCACCAUUGUGGUAAACAAUAAUGUCACUAUGGUGAACAUUGUCCCAAAAAUUCUUGUUUUUCACUUUUAUGUUCCGAAACAUUCCCGAAAGCUUUUAAAUGUAUACCUUUAUCAUAUUAAAGCUUUGGAAAUGUUGAGAACCCUUAUAAGGGUAUUUUGGACAUUUUAAUGACUUAUGUCCAUGUUAUAUAUAGGUGGUAUUAGAGAGUGUUGCUUUAAGGAAAUAAGCUAGAAAAGGACUUGCCAACCUGCAGUAUGGUUGAGGUGAGUAUAUGUUGGCAUUUUCCCACUCUGGGGUACAUGGAAAAAUGAUUUUUAUGAUAAUGAAAUACCAAUGCAUUGAUCUAUGAAAUGUUUUGAAAUGAAAGUAUUAAAUGAAUUUCAAAAGAAUGUUUUGAAAGAAUUCCUUAAAGGCAAGAACAUUUUUGAAAGUAAUGAAUGUUUUGAAAGAACAAAUGUUUUGAUAAUGUGUUUGGAACUGUUUUGAAAUAUACGUUCUUUACUUUUGAAAAAGUACUUUGAUAUUAAUGCAUGGAAUCUGUAAAACAUGGAAGGAAAACAUGAUGAUGUAUGGAAUAUGUAAAGCAUGGAAAGUAAUGAUAAGAAAUGGAAAGUUAUGACAAGAAUUGGAAAGUAAUGUCAAGAAUAUACUGCUCGAGCCAUGAUGCCCCCGUAACGGGAUCUAGAGGAAUCUAUUGAGGUGGCACCUCCUCUUCAUGUGAUAUAUGUCCUAAUGGAUAUGAUGCCUUGGUAGAUUGAUUUGUUCUUUCCACCUUGGUCUAGAUUUAGGAGUGGUUCCUUUACUAGACGUAGACCCUAACUAUAUAAAUGGAAACAACUUAAUACAAAAAUUAACCCAUAAUGAUAAAAGAGAAUGGAAUGUAGAAAGAUGUAUUUUGAAAUGAAAUGAUAAGAUAUGAAAUGAUAAUUUAUGAUACAUAUAAAAAGAGUUUUCCUUGAAAAGGCUUGAAAAUGUUUUAUGGUCUAAAAGUAUGUUAUGUUAUGAAUGAAAUGAUUUUUCAUGUAAAUGCUUGAAAUUUUUUGGGUCUCAAACCCAUAUAACUUACGAGACAUUAUUGUCUUACAUACAUGGGCGAAGGUUAUAUACGGCCAGGAGGGGUUAUGCCCCCCCCCCUUGAUUUUUUGUAACGAUCAACUUCUGCGGUAUUAAUUAAUUUAAUUUCUUGAAUUUUAGUUGGGCUAUGAUUGGUAAUUGACAUCUUGGAUUGGACCUUCAUGAUUAUUGGGCCGAGAUGUAAGAUGCCCAUAAGCUGUACGCGGGGCUUAGUGCCUUUAGUAUGCGCGGGUUGUGAGAGGUAUACGCGCAACGUACCAUAAGGUAUGCCCAGCGUACACGACCAGAUGGCAAAACCCUAAUUUUAGGGUUUGAGACAUAUUUAAACCCCAUUAUAGCCUCCCAUUUGGCCUCCUCACAUAUCAUUCACUCCCAGAAAACCCUAGUUCGUCCCUUACUCCUUGUUUGUGUGUGGUUGAUCUUUUGGACUCAUUUUUGUGAAGAAAAGUUUGGAAGAAGAAGAAGAGAAGUGGAAGAAUGAGAACUUGAGUAUCUUGAGCUCAAGGAUCUAGGAUCAUUUCUUCAUUUGGCAUCCAAAAGAGGUAUAAAGCUCUCAACUUUCCUCUUGUAAGCUUAGAUCUAUGAGUUUUUGGAAGUUUGGACCUUUUAGGUCCAAAGGAAGGACCUUUAUCAUGCAACAUCGUUUUGGAGCUUGGGAUUGCUAUCCUUGAAGCUCAAAGUGUCCCUAUAGCAGUAAAGUUUCAAUCUUUGAGGCUUUCAUGAAGCCAUGCAUGAGAUCUAUCCAUCUUCUUGGAAGUAGUUGGUUGUUUUUAGAAGUUUGAGCUUAUGUGAGUCUUGUAAGCCAUCAAGGAAGCAACUUUAUGGUUUAAGACAUGGAAUAAGACCUGGAUCUUAGAUUGUAGCUUCUGAUUCGGAAUAUUAAGCACUUAAUAGAAAAAGAACUUAUCAGGGUAUUACAUCGAGCGUACGUGUAGGUACGCCCAACGUACUCGCCAUCAAGCAGUUACGCUAAGCAUACUCUGGAAUAUGCCCCGCGUAACGCAGUCAGUUUGGGCCUUGAGUAUUGGGCCUCGGUGUGGGCUGCAUUUUGGACCUAGGGCCUUAGUGGGCCAGCAGGAGUCAGAUUAUGGGCCAAGGGCAGUUUUGGGCUUAUGAAGGGCUAUAUGUGAAGUAGGCCCAAUUUAGUAUAACAGGGCCAUUGGUGGGCCUUUAAUGGACCAGUGGUAGAAUUAGAAAGAAUUAAAGGGUUUGGGCCAUGGUUAUGACCCACAUCAUAGUAGGGGGUAAAUAGUUAUUUUACCCAUCAAGAGAUCCCCAUUUUGAUUAAGUAUUUGAUUUGUCAUGAUAGUCGGCGAGCAGCCGGGACAGCAGUCAGGGAUCUUUCACUCGGGUUUUCAGCAGUCAGCAUUCCGAGGUGAGUUUCCUUCCAGUAUGAACGGGUUUACGGCCACAAUGCCGGCUCGUUAGUUUGUAGUUAGUUCCGGACUCCGGUCCGAUGCAGUAGUUCAAGGUGCUUGAUGUCUUUGUGAUUUAAGCAUGUCUAUGUGUUAUGUGUUUCGGACUUCGGUCCGAUGUAGUAUGUUGUAUAUGUGUUUAUGCUAGUAGAUAUAUUAUGCUAUGCUAUGUUUAGUCAGUUCCGGACUUCGGUCCGAUGCAGCCAGUUCCGGACUUCGGUCCGAUGCAGUCAGUUCCGGACUUCGGUUCGAUGCAGCUAGUUCCGGACUUCAGUUCGAUGCAGGGGAUAAGGUCCCAGUCAGAUUCCGGACUUCAGUCCGAUGCAGUUUCCGGACUUCGGUCUGAUGCAGAGGGCAAGGCCCUGGUCAGUUUUCGGACUUCGGUCCAAUGCAGUGGGCAAGGCCCAAUAUGUGCUUUAUAUGUUAUUGUAUGGUAUGUGGUAGUUUGGGGGAGCUCACUAAGCUUUGUGCUUACAGUUUUAGUUUUGGUUUCAGGUACUUCUGCUAGUAAAGGGAAGAGCUUGGGAUGAUGGCAUGGCACACACCACAACUUCAGUUUAGGCUGGGAAUCUACUAUGAUAUUUUGAUAUGAUUGAUACAGUCUUGUUUUGAAUACUAUUACUAUGACUUUGAGUUACUCGUACCAUGGUUUUAUUAUAUAUGACGUUUGAUGUUGUGAUUUUUAGUAAUAUUAAAACAAAAUUUUUUGGGUCGUAUUUUGGGUCGUUUCAUUUUUUUAUUAGAAGUCCACAUAACCCAUGUUUUUUUAUCCACAUUAAGCCGUAUACAUUAAAAAAAAUUAGGCUCCCCCCCNNNNCCCCCCCAAUGCUUUCCAAUAGUCCGAUUGAAACAAAAGAAGGGAUCGUCAAUCUGCUGCUGACUUGUUGUGCUGUUGUGACCUGCUGUGCUGCACGCUGAAGAAUAAAGUCUCCAUCUGCUGUCGUUGCGCCCCUGUUACUUAAUCAGGGUUUUUUUUUGUCUUCAAAAUGCAAAAAUCAUAAUCUCUCAUCUCAAUUAUGUUUAACUGCCAUGCGUCGCUUUCCUUGUUGGAAUCAAUGAUUGAUUUCAUAUAUCUUUAACUGUUUAAUUAUUUUUUUCUAAAUCAAAAUCAAUAAUGUUUGAUUGUUUUCAAUUAUGUUAUAUCAUGUAAUUGUUAGUUAAUUGAUUAGAUUUUUGAUUGUUAGGAUUUAGGAUUAAUUUCAUAUAUGUUUAAAUGUUUGAUUAUUUUUUUCUAAAUCAAAAUCAACAAUGUUUGAUUGUUUUCAAUUAUGUUAUAUCAUGUAAUUGUUAGUUAAUUGAUUAGAUUUUUGACUGUUAGGAUUUAGGAGCAUUGUUAGUUAAAUGAUUUCUCAUAAAUAAAAUUUGUAGGAUUUAGGAACAUUGUUGGUUAAUUGAAUUCAUAAUUUUGCAAUAUGAGAUUAUGAUUUCACUUUUGAUUUUUAUAGAUACAAUCAUACAAAGCGUACAAUUUUAUGGGAAAGAUGAAAAUCAAUGAUUCUUUUUUCAAAAGAAAGAAUGAUGAUGAAUAAACUCAUAAUGAAAAUCAACAAAGUAAACGUCACAAAGCUUCAACAAGUGAGCCGCAACCGCAAGAACAUGAAAAUCAACAAAAGAAUGAUAUUUUUGAAGCUACACUAUCAAAUCCUAAUGAAGUGGAUCUUAAAAAUCUAGAAAGAGAUCCCACUAAACGAAAACAAAUGUGGGAAUAUCCGGUUAAUUUAAGGGAAUAAGUAAGACGAGAUUAUAUGACUUUAGGACCUUUCCAAAUAUGUCUUCAAGAAUAUCAUGCUAAAGGUUCAAAAAAACACCCUCAUAGAUUCCAAUAUUCUUGGUUCAAUAUUUUCCCUAAUUGGUUAGAGUAUUUUCCAACAACACAUGCUUCUUGUUGUUUUAUUUGUUAUAUAUUUAAUGAUAAGCCAAGUGUGUGCAAUGGUUACAAUGCAUUUACUGUUAAAGGAUUUGACAAUCGGAAAAAAGUUAAUGAUGGGAAAAAGUGUGCAUUCUUGAAGCACUUAGGUUGUUCGCAACAUAGAAAUGCUGUUACAUUUGUUGAAAACUUGAUGAAUCAAGCAACACACAUUGAAAAUAUCAUAGUGAAGCAAAAUGAAGCACAAAUACUGAAGAAUCGUUUACGAUUAAAAGCUUCAAUUGACACAGUUUGUUAGUUGACAUUCCAAGAUUGUGCUUUACGAGGCCAUGAUGAAACGCCUAAUUCCAAAAAUCGAGGUAAUUUUCUUCAACUACUAAAACUUCUAGCAUCUUAUAAUGAUGAAGUUGUAAAUGUUAUAUUAGAGAAUGAUCCUUAUAAUUCAAAGUAUACUUCUGGAGAUAUUCAAAAAGAAAUUCUUAGUAUUAUUGCAAAUAAAGUUCGGAAGCAUAUUCGUAGUGAAGUCGGGGAUUCAUACUUUUGUGUCAUGGUUGAUGAGUCAUGAGAUGAGUCUAAAAAAGAGCAAAUAGCCAUAGUUUUGAGAUUUGUUGAUGCAGAAGGGAUCAUACGGGAAAGGUUCUUGGAUUUGGUUCGUGUUAGGGAUACCUUAUGAUUAACCUUGAAAACAAAUAUGUGGACCCAACUUUUGCACUAUCAGUUUGAUGUUAGUAAAAUUUGUGGCUAAGGUUAUGAUGGUGCUAGUAAUAAGAGAAGGGAAUGGAAUGGAUUGCAGGCACUUGUUCUGAAGGAUUUUCCUUAUGUGUAUUAUGUUCACUACUUCACUCACAGAUUACAACUAGCAUUGGUGGCUGCUUCAAGGGAAAUUAUUCCUAUACACCAAUUUUUUACAAACUUAAUUUUUAUAAUUAAUGUAGUUUGUGCUUCUAGUAAACGACAUGGUGAGUUACAAAAGGUAAAGGCAACUGAGAUUGAAAAUUUAUUGGAACUUGGUGAAAUCGAAUCAGGUAAAGGAUUGAAUCAAGUUGGGACAUUAAGAAGAGCUGGUGAUACACGUUGGGGUUCUCAUUUUCAUUCAAUUUGCAAUUUGCUUAACAUGUUUGAUUGUACUCGUGUUGUUCUCCAGGGAAUAAUUAAUGAUGUAUCUACUACUUAUUCUCAAUGCAGAGAUGUUGAUGCAACUUACUGUUUCCUGAAAUCAUUUGAGUUUGUUUUUAUUCUUCACUUGAUGAAAGAAGUAAUGGGAAAAAAUGAUAUACUUUCUCAAGCUCUACAAAAGAAAUCCCAAUAUAUUCUUAAUGCCAUGGAGUUAGUUUCAGCAACAAAGGAGAGUCUAAAUGAUUUCAGGAACAACGGAUGGGAUUCUUUAUUUGCACAGGUAAAGUUAUUUUGUGAGAAACAUCAAGUAGAUAUGCCGGAUAUGAAAGCUUCAUAUACUCCUACUUGAUACCUGCCUCGAAAAAAUGAUAAUCAUGUUACUUUUGAACAUUUUUAUCGAGUAGAUUUGUUUACAUCCACAUUGGACAAACAGUUACAUGAGUUGAAUAAUAGAUUCAAUGAUCAAGCGAUGGAGUUGUUAAAUUUUAGUUCUACUUUAGUUUCAAAAGAACACCCUAAAGUGAUUAACAUUGAUCAUAUUUGUCUUCUCGUUGAAAAGUAUUAUCCUAAUGAUUUUACGGAGCAAGAGAGAAUUCAAUUAUGAUAUCAAUUGGAGAUUUUUAAUAUCGAUAUGACAAAGAAUCCCAAGCUAAGUGGUGUAUCAACUAUUGCUGACUUAUGCAAGGGUCUUGUAGAAACUCAGAAACGUGAGACAUAUUAUUUGCUUGCUAGAGUGGUUCGGUUAAACUUAACACUUCUAGUUUCUACCGCAACAACAGAGAGGGGCUUUUUAGCAAUGAAAAUAUUCAAGAACCGCCUUCGCAAUAAGAUGUCAGAUGACUUUCUCGCAAACAACUUGGUGGUUUACAUAGAAAGAGAAAUUGUUGAAAACAUUGAUAUGAUAUCAGUAAUUGAUGAAUUUAAAGACUUUAAAGGUCGUCAGACUGAGUUGUAAUUCUUCUUUUAGGUAUUUUUGGUGUUUAGUUGUUGAAAAAUAAUUUGUUUUUUUUUUAUGUGUAAGAACCAUAAUUAUAGGUAUUUUGGGUGUUUAAUUGCUGGAAAAAAUGGUUAUUUUAUGUGUAAAAACGUUAAAUUUAGUUUUCUACUAAUUUCGGCCCCCCAAAUGAAUCGUUCAAGCUCCGCCCCUNCGUUCAAGCUCUGCCCCUUCUUACAUAUAUCUUUUUAAUGCCAUGUAUCUCAGGUUAUUUUCAAAAAUGAAACGACGUGAAAAUUCAAAACAAUUUUUCAUUUUUCAAACCACAUAAAACUCAUAUAAUAUUCUCAAAUCUCAUGUUCAUCAAAUGUCAUCGUAAUAAAACAUAUCCCAGGAUCACAAAAUAUAAUCAUCUGUCAGUGUGUACGGAUCAUGCCGGCACCUUCCCGUGAUCCUCACUAGUACCUGAAACACAUAACAGAUAACAUUGUAAGCAUAAAUGCUUAGCGAGUUCCCCAAAAUACCACAUACAACACAUAUUAGCCACUCGAGGCUAUAACUAUGUAUGACCCUCUAGUCAGUGUGUCUUAGUGGGACCCUCCAGUCCCAUAACUCUAGGGACCCUCUGGUCCUAACUCUAUGGACCCUUUGGUCCUAACUCUGUGGACCUUUCGAUCCUAACUCUGUAUACUCUGAAUCAUACAUAGAACAAAUAAAAAAGAAAUAAUGCAGUGUAUCACAUCAUAUAAAUAGCAUACAAGAUACUCUGUUACAUAACUCUAAUUACCACUCUUGGUAAAGUAUAGUGAGAAGACUCACCUCGGGUAACUCGGAUAAAUCUCAAACUCGAUAUACAGAUCUAACCUUCGCCUAAUCACCUAAAAUUAAUACUCAUAAUCAAUACGACUCUCAAAGGCUAGACUAACCCUUCUCUAAAUUCUCUCAGAAGGGUAAAAGACCAUUUUACCCCUCUAAUGGUUCAACAGUCCAAAUAUUGACUAAACCCUAAAAGUCAACGAAAGUCAACCCUCUAGAGUACGCGGCGCGUAACAACUCUGUAUGCUGGGCGUACUCUAAUACUUCAUAGAAUCGGGGAGCUCAACCCCCUACGCUAUGCAUACUGGGAUUAUGCCCGGCGUAAAGUCCCAGUCUUGUACUCUUUUUGAUUUUUGGUCUUAAACGGUUAAGACAUAAGCUCAAAUUCCAGAUCUGACUAUUUUAAGGCCCCUUAAUCCAUAAAGUCGAAACCUUUAAGCCUUUUCAUGGCUGUAAAGGUCACCAAUCACUCCAAACACCUUUCCUCUUUCCUCAUUAAGCCCUUAUCGCAUGCAUGACUUAAUAUUGACGUCCAAGAUUGGAUUUUUAUGAACCUACAACACAUAUUACACUGGAAUAGGGUAGAUCUAAGCUUAUGGAGACCCUUUGCUCAUUAAGUCUCCACCUAGGAACCAAAAACCCUAAAAAUGGGUCCAUAAAGCAAAAAAAUCAAAGAUGACAAGGAAAGCUUUGAGCUUUUUACCUCCAAGUGAAGCUCCAACCUCUGUAGAACUCGGAUCUAAGAUUGUCCUCCAAUUUUUAGCUUCCACAAUGGCCUCCUCUUCUUCUUCACCACCACAAAAUUGCACUUUCAAGCUUAAGAACACACACACAAGCUUAUAAGGGGGUUUUUCUCUCUUAGGGUUUCACUCUCUGUAUUAUGGUGGCUGUGGUAAGGACCAUAUCAUUCCUUUUAUAGCCCUCAAGUCUCAUUUAGGGUUUUGCAUCUGAUCCAGUUACGCCCAGCGUAACUUUGGUACACCCAGCGUAACUUUGGUACACCCAGCGUACCUAAUUGAGUCCGCGUCCAUAAUAAGCACAUGAGUACGCACAUCGUACUCUUCAGUAUGCCCAACAUACUCGUUUGCAACAUUUUUCACUUAGGGGCUAAAAUUGACAAUUUGGUAAAGAAAAAUCGUUAAAUAGAUGUACCUAAAUUUUGGGAUGCUACAAUUCUCCCCCACUAGAACCAGACUUCGCCUUCGAAGUCUCGUGCCAUAAACAACUCCGGAUGCUGCUCCCGCAUCUCCGACUACGACUCCCAAGUCAGCUCGGACCCUCUCCGAUGUUGCCACUGGACCUGAACUAGGGGCACCUCCUUGUUCCUCAGAACUUUGAUCCUCCGAUCCACAAUUAGGACUGGCCUCUAACGUAAUUCAGGUUCACAUCUAUCAGAAUAUCCUCCGGCGGCACUACUGUUGCCUCAUCAGCUAUACACUUCCUCAGUUGGGACACGUGGAAGGUGUCGUGGAUCUGACUCAACUCCUCGGGAGCUCCAAAUGGUAUGCUACCUUACCCACUCUGGCGAUCACCCUGAAAGGACCAAUGUAUCGGGGCCCUAGUUUGCCCCUCUUCCUUAAUCGGAUCACUCCUUUCCAAGGAGAUACCUUCAGGAGUACAAAGUCUCCAACUUGGAACUCGUGCUCGGAUCGUCGUCUAUCCGCGUAACUCUUCUGGCGACUCUAGGCUGUCAGUAAUCUCUGUCUGACCUGUUGGAUCUGCUCCGUUGUCUUAAGCACUAUCUCAGUGCUACCCAUCACUCGCUGCUCCACCUCGCCCCAACAGAUAGGGGUCCUACACUUCCCAUAAAACAGCUCAAAGGGAGGCAUACCAAUGCUCGAGUGGUGGCUGUUGUUGUAGGAAAAAUCAGCCAAGGGUAUGUAUGAAUCCCAACUUCCACCGAAAUCCAUAACACAUGCUCGGAGCAUGUCCUCGAGCAUUUGAAUCGUCCGCUCACUUUGACCAAACAUAUAUCUCCGCCAGCUUCUCUGUAGAAGAACUCUCACUGAUAGCAAGGAAGUGAGUGCUCUUCGUCAACCGAUCCACAAUCACCCAAAUUGCAUCAACACCCCUCGCGGUCCUCGGCAAUUUGGUGAUAAAAUCCAUAGAAAUCUGUCCCCACUUCCACUGAGGAACCUCUAAUGGCUGCAGCUUGCCAUGCAGAUGCUGAUGCUCGGCCUUAACUCAGCGACAGGUGAAGCACCUCUCCACUACCCACACAACAUCCCUCUUCAUACAGGGCCACCAGUAAUCUCUCUUUAGGUCCAAAUACAUCUUAGUGGCCCCCGAAUGGAUCGAGAAUCUUUGAUUUGCGCCUUCUCCAUCAGUAUGGUACGCACCCCGCCCGAAAACGACACCCAAAUCCGACCAUGAAAGGUCAUAAGCCCCCGACUAUCGGUAACAAACUCGGAUACCUGCCCAGUCACCCGCUCUCUCUUGCGGUUCUUCGGUCUCACAGCCUCUUCCAGGGCCUCUCGGAUGGUAUCCAACACCGGAGUCAUCACCGUCAUCCUCAAACGAAUAUCUCGUAUCAGGGCACUCUAGGCCCUGCUUCUUAGGGAAUCGACUACCACAUUAGCCUUGCCCGGUAAGCUUUGCAGAAGUGAAAUCCUCCGUCACUAACUUCCACCAGUCCUUUGCUCCCAAGCGAAGCUGGUUCAGCGCGAACCGUAUCCUCAGAUGCUCCAGACAUGAACAUGUGUAGAAGCAUCCCUUAAUGUCAGAGAUCCAUCUCAUCACAGCUAUCGGAUCCCGAGUCCCAUCAAACUCUGGUGGCUUCGUGUUGCUGAACUCCUGGUACAACAACGAGUCACCCCCUAUAGCCUGGCAGCGGUGGUCGCAGCAACAGCAGCAUCAGUAAGAACAGUGUACCGCUCAUCAAAAGUCUCGAUCAGCGUGGUCUUGAUAGACCCAAACAUCUUCGAUAUCUCAGAUCGGAUGUCCGCAUCCACCUCCUCAUGAAUCAUCCUGUGAAUCUCCUCAUCGCUGACACCGCUGCUCUCUGGAGUGUGGCGCGUACUCACCAUGAUGUCUCUGAAACACAACACAAAAGAAAUCAGAGACCCGCUAGAGUAUCCUCGCACUCGAUCACUCAACCCUACUUGUUCCUUAGUACCCUAAGGCUUCUUACUUGGACUGCUCACUGAUCCGGUGUUUCCAGUAGUACGGGCCCUAUACUACUUUCCACACCGCAUCAGCAUUCACCCCAAGUCCUCCUCCUAGUAUCCCAGAUCACAAGUACUCUAUAUCUCUCUACGCACCGGCUACUCUCCAGUAGGCCAUUCAUAAGCUCCUCACAGUUACCUACUCGCUCUCGAAAUAUCUCAUAGCAGUAGUAAUCUCCUAGGCUAACACAUCACAAAUCAGGCCACUCUAGUCCUAGAUAUGAAUACCUAGCCUACUCUAGCAUGCAUAGCAUAUCACAUAAUAUCUCAUAACACAUAAUGUAAGGGUAUUUUGGGAAAUCACCGUUCGGGUGCUGGCUAAUCGUACACACUUCUCCGCUCUGCCUUUCUCAAAAUCUUUUACUCUUUUAGAAAAAAUUGUUUCUUUUAUGAAAAAUUUCCUCAAAUCCUCAGUUUGAGUUCAAAUACGCCCAAAGGUGCAUCCGAAUCCCUCAAACUAAGGCUCUGAUACCAACUUGUAACGACGUGAAAAUUUAAAACAAAUUUUCAUUUUUCAAACCACAUAAAACUCAUAUAAUAUUCUCAAAUCUCAUGUUCAUUAAAUGUCAUCGUAAUAAAACAUAUCCCAAGAUCACAAAAUACAAUCCUCUAUCAAUGUGUACGGAUCAUGCCGACGCCUUCCUGCGAUCCUCGGUAGUACCUAAAACACAUAACACAUAACACUGUAAGCAUAAAUGCUUAGCGAGUUCCCCAAAAUACCACAUACAACACAUAUUAGCCACUCGAAGCUAUAACUCUGUAUGACCCUCUAGUCAGUGUGUCUUAGUGGGACCCUCCAGUCCCAUAACUAUGGGGACCCUCUGGUCCUAACUCUGUGGACCCUUUGGUCCUAACUCUGUGGACCUUCCGAUCCUAACUCUGUAUACUCUGAAUCAUACAUAGAACAAAUCACAUAGAAAUAAUGCAGUGUAUCACAUCAUAUAAAUAGCAUACAAGAUACUCUGUCACAUAACUCUAAUUACCACUCUUGGUAAAGUAUAGUGAGAAGACUCACCUCGGGUAACUCGGAUAAAUCUCAAACUCGAUAUAUAGAUCUAACCUUCGCCUAAUCACCUAAAAUAAAUACUCAUAAUCAAUACGACUCUCAAAGGCUAGACUAACCCUUUUCUAAAUUCUCUUAGAAGGGUAAAAUACCAUUUUACCCCUCUAAUGGUUCAACAGUCCAAAUAUUGAUUAAACCCUAAAAGUCAACGAAAGUCAACCCUCCAGAGUACGCGGCGCGUAACAACUCUGUACGCUGGGCGUACUCUGAUACUUCACAGAAUCGGGGAGCUCAAUCCCCUACGCUAUGCGUACUGGGAAUAUGCCCAACGUAAGUCCCAGUCUUGUACUCUUUUUGAUUUUUGGUCUUAAACGGUUAAGACAUAAGCUCAAAUUCCAGAUCUGACUAUUCUAAGGCCACUUAAUCCAUAAAGUCAAAACCUUUAAGCCUUUGCAUGGCUGUAAAGGUCACCAAUCACUCCAAACACCUUUCCUCUUUCCUCAUUAAGCCCUUAUCUCAUGCGUGACUUAAUUUUCACGUCCAAGAUUGGAUUUUUAUGAACCUACAACACAUAUUACACUGGAAUAGGGUAGAUCUAAGCUUAUGGAGACCCUUUGCUCAUAAAGUCUCCACCUUGGAACCAAAAACCCUAAAAAUGGGUCCAUAAAGCAAAAAUCAAAGAUGACAAGGAAAGCUUUGAGCUUUUUACCUCCAAGUGAAGCUCCAACCUCUGUAGAAAUCGGAUCUAAGCUUGUCCUCCAACUUCUAGCUUCCAUAAUGGCCUCCUCUUCUUCUUCAUUACCACAAAAUGGCACUUUCAAGCUUAAGAACACACACAAGCUUAUAACGGGGUUUUGCUCUCUUAGGGUUUCACUCUCUAGAUUAUGGUGGCUGGGGUAAGGACCAUAUCAUUCCUUUUAUAACCCUCAAGUCUCAUUUAGGGUUUUGCAUCUGAGCCAAUUAUGCCCAACGUACCUAAUUGAGUCCGUGUCCAUAAUAAGCGCAUGAGUACGUGCAACAUACUCUUCAGUACGCCUAGCAUACUCGUUUGCAACAUUUUUCACUUAGGGGCUAAACUUGACAAUUUGGUAAAGAAGAAGGGUUAAAUAGAUGUACCUGAAUUUCGGGAUGUUAUAAAAAAGAAAGAUGAUGGAUGGAAUUUAGAAGUUAAGAGAUAAAUAAUAUAGUAGAACUUGUCAAAUUCCUUAUUAGUUGUAUCGAUAUAAUUUUUAUUUGGUUGCUAUGAUUUAUAUGAUGCUUAAUGGUAACACCCAAUGUUUUAAUCAUAAUUCAUAAAUGUAGCUUGAAUUUAAUGAGAUAGUUGAUGUAUAUGUUAGAGGGAGCUUGAAUUGCUCGGAAUGAAUAUCCACCACAAGUAAAUUUGAUGGGUACUAGUUCAAUUGGAUAGCUCAAAAAGCUCUAACUAUUAGUUAGAUCCUUGCUUAAUGAAGUUAUUUCGAUUCAAAAACUAAUAUAACUAAAAAUAUAUAUUAGAAUUAUGUUUGAUAAAAUACGUUCAACUCUAAUAUUAAAUAUAGAUAAGAUUCCAAAUACUAAUACACAUAUAGGGUUGAAAAUAACUUCUUACAAUCAUCAAGUCAUUCAAUUCAAUAAUAUCUUAACCUUUAACACGUUCUUGUCUAACAUAGUUGAAGCUUCUUGACACAUGCUUAAUUAAUUAAUCCAUGGGACGAGAAGAAGGACUAAUGAUGGAUGCAUGAUCGUUUAAGAAAUAAAAUAUGAUUUUGGGUACUUUAAAAUUAAAAUAACUAAAUCAAAAAAAAAUUAAUCCUUAUAAAUCCUUUUUCUUUAUAUUAUAAAUACGCAAGUUGAUAAACAAAAAAUGGAUAAAUACUAAAAGGCAUAUGGCAAGUGGAUCAGAUACGCGUUGAAAAAGAAAAUAACUAUUUUAUUGAAUAUUGGUAACUUGUUUAAUCAAAAGUUUUCAUAUAAUAGAAUAAAAUCAAAAGUCUAAAAGUUAAUAAAUACAAAAAUAUUCUAUAAUGAAAAGUUCAAAACAGUAUCUUGGAUAAUUUAAUCGUCAAAAAUCUCAAUAGCUUUUUCCUUAAAUAUAAAUUAAUGAAACGAUAUUAACUUUUACAUGUAUAUUAUAUAUUUUUUUUAUAAAAAUUUAGAAUUUUCUUAGAGACAAAGAAUGUAAAUAAUAAUAUAUUGUUUUCAAUUUACAUGAAGAGUUAAUAUGGUUUUUCAAUGACAAUUUAUUUAUAAAAUAGCUAAAUGAUUACACAAUAUUAAUAUUUGGUAAAAAUAUUUAUUUUGCUUAUGUUGUAGAAGAAUUAAGUUUAAAAAAAAAAUCAUUUGCAUUAUUUAUAUAAAUUAUAAAGUGUAAAGUAUAAACUGCAUAAAUAUAUCUCACAAAUCGCAAUAUUUCAUAUUCCCAUUUGAAAAUUAAGUUGUAAUAUGUGGUGGCUUUGAAGUUUUAUUCAAAUGGCAUUUUCGUAAUAAUAUUCCCAUUUUUUUAAUAUAUAUAUACUUCACAAAUAACCUCUUCUCACAAAAUACACAUAUCAUCGCUUACUUCAAACCCCCCCUCUGAAAAAUCAUCAUGUCUGGAUACCCCCAUAACACACCGGGAUACGGUGCUCCACCGUCAUCACAGCCAUACUCCUCCGCCCCUUACGGCGCCCCAGCUCAACCCUACGGUGCCCCAGCACAACCUUACGGCGCUCCGGCCCCAGCACAACCCUACGGCGCCCCUGCACAGCCCUACGGCGCAUCACAGCCUCCACAUGGUCACCCUCAACAAUCCCCUUACGCACCGGUAGCCAGUCCAUACGGCGCACCACCGCCUUCAGCCCCUUACGGCGCACAUCCAGAAACUAAACCGCCAAAAGAGAUGAAACCCUCAUCCUCCCCCUACGGUGCUCCUCAACCCGGCGGUGGAUACCCACAGGCACAGGGUGGAUACGGCAGCCCGUUUUCGGCUCUUUUGCCGUCGACGUUUCCUCCAGGAACAGAUCCGAACGUGGUGGCGUGCUUCCAGGUCGCCGAUCAGG
rnacentral:lncRNA from 1 species